GCUCCGAGGAGGCUGCGUUUCAAAGUGCACAGUUCCCGCAAACUCCUAGUUUCAUGGAGGGAGCCCAGAGGAGAUGUCGACAGCUAUUUAUUUCUCUACAACAGCUUACCAGGUGGUCAGCAAAGGGAGAUCAUUGUGUCUAAAUCUGACCCAAAGGUUUUAAUAACGGACUACAAUCCGUCUAAGGACUACAUUAUUAGUGUCAUUGCUAUUAGAGGCAGAGAGCAGAGCAGACCACUUCGGGGGAGAUUUAAAGCUAAACCAGCUGCUGGAGGUGAAAGUGACAAAGAAGAUGAGUCUGAGCCGCAGAGGCUGACUGAUUCAGAUGGACCUCCUGACGAUGCCAACGAGA